UUGGCAAAACCCUGCUAGCAAGAAGCCUUUCGGGCUGAGGGCUAGCCAGGCGUGUGUCUUCUAAUUAGUCCAUGUGUGGUUAGCCUUCCGACACGGUGUUGUUUUGCUUUAGCGUGUUCAUAUUAACAACCAGGCCGGUUGUUAAACUUGCUUCUAGGAAAUGUUGUCGUAACUUAGCGGUGACUAGCCACCUAUGCCCUGUUGGCUCUGUAGUCUUGACUGCCAGCGUUAUGGGAACGCUGUUGUUACAUAUCGAUUAUAUCUGGACUAGAUUAACGUUAGCAUCAUCUUGUUUUAACCACCCAAGAAGUUCACUAAUGUUUGGAGGACACUGGUCUUUGACACGUACAGUAUUUCUUUGUUUUAGUGGACACACCUUUUUAGCUAAAUACGUGAGUACUGAGUUUUUCUGUCACGUCUGUGUGAGAUGGAGCCUGCGUUUAGACUGAAGUCCAGACAAACCAUCAGCUGCCAGUCCUCAUUAAUGAACGGCCCGAAAAGACUUGUUUGGUUUAAAUUAAGAUUAUAUUCAAAAUAUAAGCAGGUUUUAUUGACAGUGGAAACAAUGCCACGAUUUAACGACAUCAAAAACUAUCAGUUAACAACUGAGGGAGACACAUGUGAAGUUAAUUCACUGCUCAGCGCCUAGAACGGUGGCAGUGGCCAGAGCAUCCUCUGUUGGCUACACAAACAAGAUGCUCCAGAUGACCAACAAUGGGAAACACAUACUUUACAUUUUCCCUCUUCAAGAACAAAUUGACACUACACCCCUUCUCUAUUAAGCUGUGGAUGGUGCACCUGAAGACCUGAGUACAUCAAAUGCAGAACUUGAAGGCACGCGGCCCAGUGGAGAAGACAACAAUUCAGAAGCUGAGCACACACCAGACGUCAUUCUGUGGCCAGACCAUCAGCAAGGUUCUUGAGCACAUGCAUAGAGACAGGGAAGUUUGUUUAUAAAUGAACCAGUUAUCAUUGAAUUCAAAGCUUUACAAGACUUUUGUCUUUUUUUGCAGCCACUCCAUCCACUCCAGCCAGCUCAGCUAGCUGCUGAAGUUUUGGCUAAGAUGGGAAAUCCCUACCGGUGGGGCCAUCCAGGCAGAGUACCUCACAUUUUCCUCCAUGCUGUUGCACUGCAUGUGCCUGGACCACAGUUAGGAAGACUUCUCCAGUCAUGUGAGUUCUCUUGGAGUUACAUGACUGGAGAAGAUUUCAUAACUGUGGCGCAGGCACAGGCAGUGGCAAUUUUUCAAACUUCAGCAGUAUUUAAAAAAGAAGGGAACUUGGUGAAGGAGAUGGUGUUUUUCAGGCCCUGUUUUAAACAUUUUCAGCCUUGUCCCAGGCUGUU